ACUUUGAGCUGGUGCAGGAUGCCAAUGUGAAUGUGGUCCUGGAACGUGGGGAAUCGCAGUGCCCGGCCAGUCCUGCCACUGUGGCAUGGGUCACCUCUUCAAUUUCUCGCUGUUUUCUACUUUUCAUGGAAAGUCUGGUUCUGGUUAUUCUGACCAAGGGAUGGAUUUUGAGGAAGAAUUUCCACCGCUCAGAUUUGCUUUAAAAGAACCCAAGUGUUGAAAUGUUUUCUGAGAGGGAAUGCCUGUAUCAUUGCAUUGGCUGUGUGGCCCUUAAAGCUGUAUAGACUGGGUGAGGUUUUGUGGUUCUGCUGAGGGCUAUUCUGAGCAGGGGUUGGAAAGGUAUCGGCAGCAGAAUUGCAGAAGGUGGAAGCACAUGCAUGUUCAGAUUUGAAUACUGAUGGUGUCCCCGGAUACAAACCUAUGAGGCUUCCUUCAAUUAAACACUUUUAAAGUUGUUGCAUUGAUAAUGCAGAACUUGAAAUGGAAGAUGAAUAAAUGUAACAGGCCAAAUUAGGACUAAUUGUAUAUUCAAAGCUUGAGGUUAGUGAAGAAGUCGAUGUUGUGAAUUGGAGAAAACCCUUUAAAUGGUUAUUCUUAUAUCAUACUUGCUUUAUUUUUCUCAAUUUCUCUUAUCUCUUACACUGUUUGAUUGUUGGGGAGCAGGAGGGAACUGUCCAGAAGGUGUCAUGGCAUCUUCUAACUCUUUCCCCUCCUUCUGAGACUUGAUUCGUUCAGUUAGGGGAAACUUGAGUUCCUGUGCUAACAGUGAUUUAAUCUCAUUCCCAGCCUAGCUCACUAUCACAGUCAAAUGGGAUUGGCAGUGAUCAGAGUGGCCAGCCCUCGGCAUUUUUGCCACAUGUUAACGAUUUCCUGGUCUUAGUGGAUUUAUUGAGUAGAGACUGUCGAGGUAAAACAGGAAGGUAUUUCUUCUUCCUCCCAGCAGCCCACACUCUCCACUGCCACCUUUUGGGCGAUCCUACUGCCUCUCCCUAUUCAAAGGCAACAUGCACAGAGGUCUGUGGACACAGGCUGUCUGCCCAUUCUCUUGGCUGGAGAGCAAUGUGGCGUGUUGCUGAGUGUUAACUGUGUUUUUCUCAAAACCAGGGUUCAGAAACACAAUUUUUCAAGGUAAAUAUUAGUGAGUGGAGUGAAGCUGAUGCAGUUACUGUAGAACCUUGUGUACUGAUAAAUGGGUAACUCAGUCCCUUUUCUCUGACCCUGUGAUACCAGGUCGACUGCUGUUCACUGCAACACCAUCCAACUUCCUAGGACCUCAAUCCCUUAUUUAAAAGGCAAUGGGUCCUAUCAACCAGUGAACUACAACAGAGACCCUCUGUUCCUGGCUGAGUGAAGUGGUACAACUGCUGGAUAUCUGAAACACAAACAGGAAAAAAAACUGGAAUUACUCAGCACGUCACCAACAGUUGUGGAGAGAGGAACUAAGGUUGUAGGCUGAGUGUGGAGCGAAUGCUGUCCUGGUUUAAAGAUGAGGGAGCAGCCAGCCCUUACUGCUGUGUGUUACCCCACUGCACUCUAACGCUGGGAACAACAUCACUGACGUGCUCUCAGGAGGUACUUUCCUGUGUAGAUCAACUGAUACAAACUGUAUCACAACGCAGAUCACUUUGGGCAACUUUAGAAGGUUGGAAAUUCUCCAGAGAAAGUGGUUGAGUUUCCUAAAGAUAUCAGCAGCUUGCAACGAUCCAUCAAGGAAGCUUUCCUUUGAUAUGAUUCAAGAUGCAGCCAGACCCCACUGCCUGGAAGAGUAGCAGUCUAUUACACAACAUUCACCUCAUAAUGGGCUUUCUGUAUGACGGUUCUCUCAGCAGAGUUAUUCACGUUCCAAUGGCCAAUUGUGACCAACACAAAACCUGUCAUGACUGCACCUUUGCCCGAGAUCCCCAUUGUAGUU